rnacentral:rRNA from 1 species
CUGCAUGAAGUCGGAAUUGCUAGUAAUCGCGGAUCAGCAUGCCGCGGUGAAUACGUUCCCGGGCCUUGUACACACCGCCCGUCACACCAUAGGAGCCGGUAAUACCCGAAGUCAGUAGUCCAACCUCGUGAGGACGCUGCCGAAGGUAGGAUUGGCGACUGGGGUGAAGUCGUAACAAGGUAUC